GAAUCUUUCAACUAGAACAAGAGUGGGAAGUGUAAUGGGCUCAUGGGAAAAUCUUCAGGAAUGAAAUUUUCCAGAAUCUAAUUCUAGGAAACCGUUAUAUUUGACAGUUUGUUGGUGCUUCUUUUGCUCCUUAAUUAUUUGACAAAAAGCAUCAAUCUAUUGCAAUUGAAGGGAAGAUCUUUGCACAGCCACGAAGGAAACUACAAGCAGAGUUUGCAAAGUAUGGUUUAUAAUAUAGUUAGUCGGCACCUUGCAUAUCAUUAUACCUUGCUCCUUCUCCAUACUCCUCCGCCUCCACUAAUUACAGAUCCAAGUUCGAUGCUUCUCCUCAACCAGAGAACCUUCGCAUCAUCUCUUUCACUUCAUUUCCAUCCUAAGCAGCAUUAAAGCUGAUCGAAAUUUACUGCAGAACCUGGAUUCUCGAUUUGCUCAAACAAGCUACUUACCUAGCAGAAGCAUAUGUUAUCGCAUCUGUUUAUGGGUCGGGCAUUAAAGCUGAUUAAAAUUUCGUACAAUUCCAUGAUUUGGGAACCAAGGCAAGAGAGGAGAUUGAUGCUUUUGGCUUUCAAUUUGGGACAGAAAUGCGGCUGCAUUGCAUUAAU
rnacentral:misc_RNA from 1 species